CAGUGUGAUUUCGCUAUCUUCUUCAUGGACCACUAUAUACAUUAAUGUUUUUUAUCUUCUAGGUGUGGGAGUAUUUCCCUCACAGGAUCCUGCUCAGCCCAGAAUGCCUCCUUGGAUUUACAAUGAGAGUUUGGUUCCAGAUGCCUAUAAGAAAAUCUUAGAAACCACAAUGACUCCAACUGGAAUAGAUACUGCCAAACUGUAUCCCAUUCUGAUGUCAUCUGGGCUUCCCAGGGAAACUCUUGGACAGAUAUGGGCCUUAGCUAAUCGAACUACACCUGGCAAACUUACAAAGGAAGAACUUUAUACCGUUCUAGCCAUGAUAGCGGUAACACAGAGGGGCGUUCCUGCAAUGAGUCCUGAUGCUUUAAACCAGUUCCCAGCAGCUCCUAUUCCAUCUUUAAGUGGCUUUUCUAUGACUCUGCCUACACCGGUGAGUCAGCCAACUGUGAUACCUUCAGGCCCUGCGGGCUCCAUGCCUCUCAGCCUUGGACAGCCAGUCAUGGGCAUUAACCUUGUUGGACCAGUGGGUGGAGCUGCAGCCCAGGCUUCUAGUGGUUUCAUACCAACCUACCCUGCGAAUCAGGUAGUAAAGCCAGAAGAAGACGACUUCCAGGAUUUUCAAGAUGCUUCUAAGUCAGAAUCCCUUGAUGAUUCAUUCAGUGAUUUCCAAGAUUUGCCUGCUUCUUCAAAAACAAGUAACUCCCAGCAUGGAAACAGUGCCCCUUCUUUGUUGAUGCCACUUCCUGGAACUAAAGCAUUGCCUUCAAUGGACAAAUAUGCUGUGUUUAAAGGAAUUGCAGCUGACAAGUCCUCUGAAAAUACUGUUCCACCUGGAGAUCCUGGUGAUAAAUAUAGUGCUUUCAGAGAACUCGAACAGACAGCAGAGAAUAAACCUUUAGGAGAAAGUUUUGCAGAAUUCAGAUCUGCAGGAACUGAUGAUGGUUUCACUGAUUUUAAAACAGCCGAUAGUGUAUCACCACUAGAGCCACCGACAAAAGACAAAACUUUUCCACCAUCCUUCCCCUCAGGAACUAUACAACAGAAACAACAAGCACAAGUGAAAAACCCUCUGAACUUAGCAGACCUAGAUAUGUUUUCCUCAGUUAAUUGCAGCAGCGAGAAACCAUUGUCUUUUUCAGCUGCAUUUAGCACAUCAAAAUCAGUUUCUACACCACAGUCAACAGGUUCUGCUGCUACUACGACAGCACUGGCAUCAACAAAAACUUCUAGUUUGGCUGAUGAUUUUGGAGAAUUCAGCCUUUUUGGGGAAUAUGCUGGUCUAGCACCUGCUGGGGAGCAGGAUGACUUUGCAGAUUUUAUGGCUUUCAGUAAUAGCUCUAUUUCAUCUGAGCAAAAGCCAGAUGACAAAUAUGAUGCCCUUAAAGAGGAAGCCAGUCCUGUUCCUCUAACCAGCAACAUGGGCAGCACAGUGAAGGGUGGACAAAACUCGACUGCUGCGUCUACCAAGUACGAUGUCUUCAGACAACUUUCUCUGGAAGGGUCUGGACUAGGUGUUGAAGACCUAAAAGAUAACACUCCUUCAGGAAAAAGUGAUGAUGAUUUUGCUGACUUCCACUCCAGUAAAUUUUCAUCCAUAAACUCGGACAAAUCCCUGGGAGAGAAAGCAGUGGCUUUCAGACACACCAAAGAAGACUCUGCAUCAGUGAAGUCCUUGGAUCUCCCUUCCAUUGGUGGCAGCAGUGUUGGCAAGGAGGACUCUGAAGAUGCACUCUCUGUUCAGUUUGACAUGAAAUUGGCUGAUGUGGGAGGAGAUCUUAAGCAUGUCAUGUCUGAUAGCUCUUUGGAUUUACCAACAGUUAGUGGCCAGCAUCCUCCUGCUGCAGGAAGUGGAUCCCCCUCAGCCACCUCAAUUCUUCAAAAGAAAGAGACUUCAUUUGGCAGCUCUGAAAAUAUCACCAUGACAUCUCUCUCCAAAGUAACGACCUUUGCAAGUGAAGAUGCUCUUCCAGAGACUACCUUCCCAGCUUUUGCCAGUUUUAAAGACACGAUUCCUCAGACUGGUGAGCAAAAGGAAUAUGAAAACAGAGACUAUAAAGAUUUCACAAGACAGGACCUGCCUACGGCUGAACGGAGCCAGGAGGCCACGUGUCCCAGCCCAGCGUCCAGUGGCGCCUCUCAAGAAACCCCCAACGAAUGUUCAGAUGACUUUGGAGAGUUUCAAAGUGAAAAGCCCAAAAUCAGCAAAUUUGACUUCUUAGUAGCCACUUCACAAAGCAAAAUGAAAUCCAGUGAAGAAAUGAUCAAAAGUGAGCUGGCAACCUUUGACCUUUCUGUUCAAGGUGAGUAGCUUCCAAGGUAGAUUUUACUAUUGUGGUUUUUUUCCACUGAGAUGUUAGAUGUUCUUAAGAAUAAAAUGUUGCUCCCUGGUUUAGCAGGAAAUAGAUUUUUCUAAUCUUUGAAAUCAGGGUCAAUUACAGAUAGCUAUAAUAAAGAUUUCUCUGAGACUGGAGUCAAAAUCAGCAUCCCUCAGAUAACUGCUUUAUGGGCUAAAAACAAGCACAGCAUGCAGGUAUUGCUCAUUAGCUCAUUUGGUUAGAGGUGUGCUGUGUUAAAAGAGCCAGAUAAAUGGAUUGGAGCCACUUGUAGGCACAUUAGCUCCGCUUAUGUUCCCUGGGCACAGAUAAUGUCUUUUAAUCCAAAGGUUGCAGUGUAGGGGCCGGGGAUCUGCAUCCAGCCUGCAUAUCACAUUGACCCACACAAAAGAUUUUUAAGUACGAAGUAAUUGCCAGUAUUUAAAAGACAUGAGAUUUCCCAAUCUGGAUUUCCAACUUUUCUUGAGAAGUCAUAAUAUCUGGCACUAGUAGGUCUGCACUCCCAUAUGUUGACAAGCAGCUGGAGCCGAAGAGCACCGCUCCCUGUAGGUGGGUCAUUCUUUCUCUCCUGCCAUAAUCCCCACCGCUUCCUGUCUCAGCGGACCUACUUAAGUUAUUCACUUUAUUUGCCUGGUCUCUGAAGGCAUUUGAGUUUGCCUCUUCUGCUUUAAUCUCAUCCUGACAGGAGGGGUCGUUGAUUUCAGCUGGAUUGAGAGUCUGUGAAGGAACUCGGUUACAAAUCCGUAACAAAUGACUGGAAAAGCCACACAACUCUUACAUACUGAUAUUUAGAAAGGUGCUUUUGUUCUCCACUCCAUUGAUUCUGCACUGAGCAUUAUGGAAGACUUGUGAUAGAUCAGAGAAGAGUCAUGUUGAAAACGAAACGCAGGGAAACCAGGCAAGAGAGAACAGUAGAAAGGAUUUAACAUGUAGCUUCCCAGAAAGAAUGAAUGAGGAAUGUGUUUGUGAAUGCUUCAUGACAUAAGCAUCUGAAGAAGAGGGUCGUGGGCUGGGUGCGGUGGCUCACACCUGUAAUCUCAACACUUUGGGAGGUGGAGGCAGGCAGAUAACUUGAGGUCAGGAGUUCAAGACCAGCCUGGCCAACACAGUGAAACCGUGUAUCUACUAAAAAUACAAAAAUUAGCCAGGCAUGAUGGUGCGCACCUGUAGUCCCAGCUACUCAGGAGGCUGAGGCAGGAGAAUUGCUUGAACCCAGGAGGCGGAGGUUGCACUGAGCCGAAAUCACACCACCGUACUCCAGUCUGAGCGACAGAGCAAGACUCUGUCUCAAAAAAAAAAAAAAAAAAAAGAAGA
rnacentral:sRNA from 1 species